AUGGUGAAGAGCAGCUUGGCCAGAGGAGGACCAGGCAGGGCAGACCUGGGCCAGUGGGUGUGCCCAUGUUCCAGAGCUGGAGGAGCCAGUGGUCCAGCAGGCACAGGGUGGCUGGCGUGGGUCAGAGCGCCCAUCACUGACCCGGUGCUGGAGGAGGAAACCGGCGGAGCAGCUUCCCCACUCUCAGUUGCGCGUCUGGCGAUGGCGAUCAGAGGUCCUGCUGCGCUCUCCGCCGGGCUCUCCCUCCAUUAGCCGCGCUGCGCCGUGUUGCGCCCCCGCUGGUGCCUCUCUCCCGGGUCGCGGGAUCGGCCCCUCUUCCAGGCACGACCCCUUCCCCCCGGCCCCUCGGCCUUUCCCCCAUCUCGGUCAUCUCCGACCCGGGGCGCGAGUUCCCCCCGGCCCGGCUCCCUCUCUCCCUCCGGGGGCACCCGCUCCCUAGCCCCGGCCCGGUCCUCCCCGCGGCGCAGCACGGAGUCUCGGCGUCCCAUGGCGCAACCCACGGCCUCGGCCCAGAAGCUGGUGCGGCCGAUCCGCGCCGUGUGCCGCAUCCUGCAGAUCCCGGAGUCCGACCCCUCCAACCUGCGGCCCUAGAGCGCCCCCGCCACCCCGGGGGAAAGAGAGCGCGAGCGCGCUGAGCCGACGGCGGAGAACGAGUUCUUGCCAGCCAGCCGGGAGGCCCCGGAGUCAGCCCAUGGGGAGAGGGCGCCCGGCGUCGGCCACCACGACCGUCGCCGCCCGCGCCACGCCCGGCCAGUGAAGCCCAGGUAAGCGCUGAGACCGGAGCCAGGAGCGCACCUUCUGGGGACGCCCGCAAUAGCGCGUUUCUGAGCCGAGCCCGCGCCGCACGCAGGGAGUGAGCCCCCUCUUGCUCCUCUGGGCUGGGCCACACCUCUGAAAGUUAGGAUGCCCGUCGGGGCUGGACCGCGUCGGAGCAGUGGCCCCAGAAAACCUGAGCGCC
rnacentral:lncRNA from 1 species